UUCUUCUCUGUAGUUGUCUUUUCAUAUUCCUGAUGUAGUUCUGAUCAAUAGCCGUCUUAUUGUCUUCCUCUGUAGUUUGGUUCUCUUGCCGUUUUCUCCUAUUCUUGAUGUAGUUUGGAUCUUUGCCCGUCUUCUCAUAUUCUCAUUGUAGUCAGAUCUCUUGCCAUUUUCUCUUAUUCCUAUCUACCCAGUUUCGAUCUCUAACUGUUUUUUUUUUCUUUCUGUCAUGUCAAUAUUAAAAUAUCAUGUAAGCCUAUUUUCUAAAGAAGUUUAUGUCUAUGAUGUCUAUCAUGGUUUAUAUAGUUUAAAAGGUAUUGAGUUCAAACAGUCACCAAUGGAUAUAUUCUAUCAAUAAGCGGUGGUGUAGUGAUGUUCAUUAGGUUGAAGAUCCCUAUUAACACUCCACAAGAUUGGCAAGAACAUAAUAUCCAAGUUUCUUUUGAUUUUUUCCAUUUGCCGGAGGACCACCAUUACCACCACCAUCAAAGCAAGAGACUUCUCAUCCAAUGAGGAUGGAACCGAUUGGAGUGUAUCACCAUAUAUGUCACCACCUUCAAUUUGGGAUUGUAUCACAAGAUUUGUCUCGGGAUUUACUUAGGCUGAGUUUGUUAGAAGGUAUAAUAUAUAAGGUAUAAAUUAUAUAUAGGUAUAAAUUGUAAGGAGGUAUAAGAAGGUAUAAGUUAUAUA